UACAGAGGGUGCAAGCGUUAAUCGGAUUUACUGGGCGUAAAGCGUGCGUAGGCGGUUCAUUAAGUCGGUUGUGAAAUCCCUGGGCUUAACCUGGGAACUGCAGUCGAUACUGGUGGACUAGAGUACGGUAGAGGGUGGCGGAACUCCGGGUGUAGCGGUGAAAUGCGUAGAUAUCGGAAGGAACACCAGUGGCGAAAACGGCUUCCUGGUCCAGCACCGACGUUCAGGCACGAAAGCGUGGGGAGCAAACAGG
rnacentral:rRNA from 1 species